rnacentral:rRNA from 1 species
GAUGAACGCUGGCGGCGUGCCUAAUACAUGCAAGUCGAGCGAACAGACGAGGAGCUUGCUCCUCUGACGUUAGCGGCGGACGGGUGAGUAACACGUGGAUAACCUACCUAUAAGACUGGGAUAACUUCGGGAAACCGGAGCUAAUACCGGAUAAUAUAUUGAACCGCAUGGUUCAAUAGUGAAAGACGGUUUUGCUGUCACUUAUAGAUGGAUCCGCGCCGCAUUAGCUAGUUGGUAAGGUAACGGCUUACCAAGGCAACGAUGCGUAGCCGACCUGAGAGGGUGAUCGGCCACACUGGAACUGAGACACGAUCCAGACUCCUACGGGAGGCAGCAGUAGGGAAUCUUCCGCAAUGGGCGAAAGCCUGACGGAGCAACGUCGCGUGAGUGAUGAAGGUCUUCGGAUCGUAAAACUCUGUUAUUAGGGAAGAACAAAUGUGUAAGUAACUAUGCACGUCUUGACGGUACCUAAUCAGAAAGCCACGGCUAACUACGUG